GUGCUUGCUUCAGUAGCACAUAUACUAAAGUUGGAACAAUCCAGAGAAGAUUAACAUGGUCCCUGCACAAGGAUGACAUACAAAUUCAUGAAGUGUUCCAUAUUUUU
rnacentral:snRNA from 1 species